rnacentral:rRNA from 1 species
AUUAACGCUGGCAGAGUGCAUAACACAUGCAAGUCGAGCGGGCUCUGCAGAUCAUCGUAGAGCUAGCGGCAGACGAGUGAGUAACACGUAAGCAACCUGCCCUCGAAAGGCGAAUAACGCCGCGAAAGCGGUGCUAAUGCGCCGUAUGAUCCCCUGGGGGCAUCUCCGGGGGAUGAGAGGCCCGCAAGGGCCGUUCGAGGAGGGGCUUGCGGCCCAUCAGCUAGUUGGUGAGGUAACGGCCCACCAAGGCUAUGACGGGUACCCGGCCUGAAAGGGCGAGCGGGCACGAAGGCACUGAGACACGGGCCUUACUCCUACGGGAGGCAGCAGUGGGGAAUUUUGGACAAUGGGCGAAAGCCUGAUCCAGCAACUCUGCGUGAGGGACGAAGUCCUUCGGGAUGUAAACCUCUUUUGUCGGGGACGAAAGCCCGCAAGGGUUUGACGGUACUCGGCGAAUAAGCCACGGCUAACUACGU